rnacentral:rRNA from 1 species
AAUAGAUACCCGAGGUAGUCCACGCCGUAAACGAUGAAUGCUAGCCGUCGGUGAGCAUGCUCUUCGGUGGCGCAGCCAACGCAAUAAGCAUUCCGCCUGGGGAGUACGAUCGCAAGAUUAAAACUCAAAGGAAUUGACGGGGGCCCACACAAGCGGUGGAGCAUGUGGUUCAAUUCGAAGCAACGCGCAGAACCUUACCAGGCCUUGACAUCCCGGUCGCGGCCCCUUGAAAGAGGGGCUUUCAGUUCGGCUGGACCGGUGACAGGUGCUGCAUGGCUGUCGUCAGCUCGUGUCGUGAGAUGUUGGGUUAAGUCCCGCAACGAGCGCAACCCUCGCCCUUAGUUGCCAUCAUUUAGUUGGGCACUCUAAGGGGACUGCCGGUGAUAAGCCGCGAGGAAGGUGGGGAUGACGUCAAGUCCUCAUGGCCCUUACGGCCUGGGCUACACACGUGCUACAAUGGCGGUGACAAUGGGCAGCAAUGGCGCGAGCCGGAGCUAAUCUCAAAAAGCCGUCUCU